rnacentral:rRNA from 1 species
UACGUAGGGGGCAAGCGUUGUCCGGAAUCAUUGGGCGUAAAGAGCGUGUAGGCGGUCCGGUAAGUCGGCUGUGAAAGUCCAGGGCUCAACCCUGGGAUGCCGGUGGAUACUGCUGGGCUAGAGUACGGAAGAGGCGAGUGGAAUUCCCGGUGUAGCGGUGAAAUGCGCAGAUAUCGGGAGGAACACCUAUUGCGAAGGCAGCUCGCUGGGACGUUACUGACGCUGAGACGCGAAAGCGUGGGGAGCAAACAGG